CGUGUACCGAUACACCUAUCUGCGACAUAAUAUUACUCUAUACACGGGCAGGCUAGAAACGAUUCCCACUCCGAAAAGUCGUUGCAGCCGUUUCGAUGCACCCGUAACGGGGGCUAAAUAAUACCUAACAACGAGCUCGUGUAGGAACUCGAACGCCCGGUGGCGCGUGGCGGAGCCGAUACGACGAGUUGCUGCACGAAGAAAACGAACCGAGCAGUACUACGACGGGUAUAGGUACUCGUUGUCGUUGAAUGAUAUAUUUGACAGGAC